rnacentral:lncRNA from 1 species
ACCUGUAUGUUUUACAUAAUGGUGUCAUAGAAAAUAAAGAUAUAGGACAACAAAAUAAACUGUGUCUUGCCCUGUAGUAACCUCUUCAAGAGCAGUCAGGAAAGUUCUGAGUCCUGUUGAGAAAACUGUGACCAGGAGUUUCACACCAGCCCUGGUGAUAACAGAACUCCUCCCCAAGACUUUGGGAUACAACUCAAAAGAAAAUUAAAGUAAAACACACUUUUCCCUCUCUCUUUCCUAGAGGAACUGACCCUUGAGGGGAGUGGGCUAGAAACCUGAAGACUUUUCCUUAGAAAUGAGGACUCUGAACUUCGUGUGAUGUGUUGUCUUGGAGGAAGACAUAGAAGAAAUUAUGCAAACUUGUAUUUUUCUUCUCCUCAGUUUACAAGGGAUUUAAGGUAUGUAAAACUCAGCAAUAGCCUUGGUUUCUAUAUCUGUGUUAAGAGAAUAAAUAAAGAUGAUAAUAGUAUGUGAUAAUUGCCCACACACAAAAUAAACUGC